rnacentral:rRNA from 1 species
CCUACGGGAGGCAGCAGUGGGGAAUAUUGCGCAAUGGGCGAAAGCCUGACGCAGCGACGCCGCGUGAGGGAUGAAGGUCUUCGGAUCGUAAACCUCUGUCAUCAGGGAAGAAUGGUCACUGUGCUAAUCAGUAGUGAAUUGACGGUACCUGCAAAGGAAGCACCGGCUAACUACGUGCCAGCAGCCUCGGUAAUACGUAGGGUGCGAGCGUUGUCCGGAAUUACUGGGCGUAAAGGGCUCGUAGGCGGUAUGUCAAGUCAAGUGUGAAAUCCCCGGGCUAAACGUGGGAACUGCCUUUGAAACUGGCAAACUGGAGUGUGUGAGAGGAUAGUGGAAUUCCAGGUGUAGGAGUGAAAUCCGUAGAUAUCUGGAGGAACAUCAGUGGCGAAGGCGACUAUCUGGCACAUAACUGACGCUGAGGAGCGAAAGCGUGGGUAGCAAACAGGAUUAGAUACCCCUGUAGUC